rnacentral:rRNA from 1 species
UACGAAGGGGCCUAGCGUUGUUCGGAAUUACUGGGCGUAAAGCGCGUGUAGGCGGGUCUUUAAGUCAGGGGUGAAAUGCCAGGGCUCAACCUUGGAACUGCCUUUGAUACUGGAGACCUUGAGUCCGGGAGAGGUGAGUGGAAUUGCGAGUGUAGAGGUGAAAUUCGUAGAUAUUCGCAAGAACACCAGUGGCGAAGGCGGCUCACUGGCCCGGAACUGACGCUGAGACGCGAAAGCGUGGGGAGCAAACAGG